UGCGCAUGCGCAGUGCGAAGUCGCGUCUUUUUCGACAGCUCUGGUGGAUUUGAGGUGAAAUUGAUCAAUAAAAUUAGGAUAUAAUAAAAAUAUAGAUUAAAAAAACUCAUCUUCAUUAUAGUCUACAUUUAUAAAGAGAGCAGCUGAGCCCGGGUUUACCGCGCUGGCCUUAAGGGAAUGAGGGAUGACGUCGGUUGUGUUGGUAGACAGUGGAGGAGCGGUGCUUGAGUAUGUCACUGCAGUGGAAGAUCUACAUCAGGAGGAGGAUGUGUGUGAGGUUGAAGGAGUGUGUGAAGGAGUGUGUGAGAUAGAGGAGGUGUGUGAGGAUGUGUGUGAGGUAGAGGAGGUGUGUGAUCAGGAAGAAGAGGAGGUGUACUCACCUGCAGAGGUGUUUGUGUACGAGGAAAACACAGAGCUGAUGCAGGGGGUCGCUGAGGAACAGGAAGUGGAGACAGAAGUAUUGGAAACAGUGGAGGCGUCAGUACAUGGAGGCUCCACUGUUCACUGCACUGAUAAAACAAUUGAAGCAGCAGAAGCUCUCUUGCACAUGGACUCACCAUCCAGCAUUCGGGGAGACCGUAGUCCAGAGGUGUUUGUUCCGCCAUGCGUGUCCUCUCCAGAGUUUUUGCACGCUGCCAUGCGUCCUGAUGUUGUCACAGAAACGGUGGUGGAGGUCAGUACUGAGGAGGCGGAGCCUGUGGAGGUGGUGACCUUAAUUAAGGAGCCCCGAGGGAUUGAGAGAGAUGGCAGGAAGAAGAAAACUGGGAGGAAGCCCAUUAAGCCCCACCCCAUCUCCAACGGACAAUCUCCAUCUCCAGAUUUAGGCAUCAAAAAGAAGUCAAGAGAAGGCAAAGGCAGUACAUACCUGUGGGAGUUUCUGUUGGACCUUCUGCAGGAUAAGAACACCUGCCCCAGGUACAUUAAGUGGACUCAAAGGGAGAAGGGCAUCUUCAAGCUGGUGGACUCGAAAGCCGUGUCCAAGCUGUGGGGGAAACACAAGAACAAACCCGACAUGAACUACGAGACCAUGGGACGUGCCCUCAGGUACUAUUAUCAGAGGGGGAUCCUGUCGAAGGUUGAAGGUCAGAGGUUGGUGUACCAGUUUAAGGAGAUGCCUAAAGACAUUAUUGUGAUUGAUGAUGAUAAAUGUGACACAGAUGAUCUGGGCGGGGCUUACGAACACGUCAUGGCCGCCGACCUCUCCAAAACCUCCAGCAUUCUGAGAGGGGCGGGGCCAGUUAUAAGUCCUGCCUCUUCCAAAGCCAAGCCCUCCACCACCAUCACGCCCAUCCAACGCAUAGUGACCGUCUCCACGGCGACCGAGUCACCGCACACAGCGAUUAUUCCUAACACCAAUGCACCCAGGACUGUCCGAGUCGCUAUGCAAGUCCCUGUUGUCAUGACGACACCCCUGGGUCAGAAGAUCUCGCCUGUCACCAUCUCAACGGCGACCUCACCCCCGUCCAGUGUUACCACGGCAACCGGAGCCUCCACCCCAAAGGUUUUGAUUCAGACGGUUCCAGCGGUGGAGAGCAGCGAUAAGAUCACGCUACAGCUCGCCAAGAUCAUCACCAUCACCCCCAUCACCCUCGCCCUGCCCCCAGGCACAGGCUCCGCCCACCCCCACAGCCCCACCCCCAGCCCUCAACUUCCUGUCCACAUACACGUUCAGUCUGACAAUCACACCACACACACCGAUCCCACCCAACAGGAAGUGGAGAGACACACACACGUCAUAGCUCACACACACAGCUAAAGGGAGAGAAGCUCUCUCUCACACACACACACACACACACACACACACACACACCAGUCAAACAGGAAGUGGAUAUACACACAGGAAGUAGUCAUAGCUCAAAUUGUUGGAGCCAGACUGUCAUGGAACACACACACACACACACACACACAGUGAGACUGUUAAAGGGACCAGCGUGAGACUGCAGCUCGCACUGAAUAGCACUACAUAUCAGAGGAACACUACACACAACAUGGGACAUCAAACUGACUGUACAUACCGAGGUGUGUGUGUGUGUGUGUGUGUGUGUGUGUGUGUGUGUGUGUGUGUGUGUGUGUGUGUGUAUACCGAGCGCAGUAUUAGACAGCUGUUCAGAUAUAAGGCUGUUUUCAAGGUCAAAGUUCAACAAGCUGUUCACCAUCCUCUCUUCCUUUUCUUUCCUCCUCUCUCUCUCUCGUGUGUGUGUGUGUGUGUGUGUGUGUAAAUGUGUGUGUGUGUGUGUGUGGAAAUGUGUGUGUGUGGGGGGACAGCAGUAUGAUGAUCAUGUUUGAAUAUUGAACAUUAGAAUUGUACACUCUAUUUUGUUGUACUCUGUAUUCCAGUAGAUUUUACUGAAUUAUAAACGACUGAAUUCA